AAGAGGAGAACCAGAGCUGGGUGCUAGCAUCCAUCCAUCCAUUCAUCUCUCCGCUUCCUGGCUGUGGAUGCCAUGUGGCCAGCUGCUUCGGCCUCCUGCUGCUUCGACCUCCCUGCCAUGAUGGACUAGUACUCUGAAAACAUAUACAAGACACGGACAAUGUAGACCGGACAGGGCAUUUGGAUAAAUGGAGCAGAGGACACACCAUGACACUCUGUUGCCCUCAUCUGUCAGGGGAUAAAAUACUGCAGAGGGACAAGAAACUGACACUGUACAUUUGAAUAAAUGGAGCAGAAGACACACUGUGA